rnacentral:rRNA from 1 species
AGUGAACGCUGGCGGUAGGCCUAACACAUGCAAGUCGAACGGCAGCACAGUAAGAGCUUGCUCUUACGGGUGGCGAGUGGCGGACGGGUGAGGAAUACAUCGGAAUCUACUUUUUCGUGGGGGAUAACGUAGGGAAACUUACGCUAAUACCGCAUACGACCUACGGGUGAAAGCAGGGGAUCUUCGGACCUUGCGCGAUUGAAUGAGCCGAUGUCGGAUUAUCUAGUUGGCGGGGUAAAGGCCCACCAAGGCGACGAUCCGUAGCUGGCCUGAGAGGAUGAUCAGCCACACUGGAACUGAGACACGGUCCAGACUCCUACGGGAGGCAGCAGUGGGGAAUAUUGGACAAUGGGCGCAAGCCUGAUCCAGCCAUACCGCGUGGGUGAAGAAGGCCUUCGGGUUGUAAAGCCCUUUUGUUGGGAAAGAAAAGCAGCAGGUUAAUACCCCGCUGUUCUGACGGUACCCAAAGAAUAAGCACCGGCUAACUUCGUG